CCAAUGGGGUCAGUGGGGUCAUGGUGGGAACCAAUGGGGUCAAUGGGACCCAAUGGGGUCAAUGGGGACAUGGUGGGACCCAGUGGGGUCAAUGGGACCCAACGGGGUCAAUGGGGUCAUGGUGGGACCCAAUGGGGUCAAUGGGACUCAAUGGGGUCAAUGGGGUCAUGGUAGGAGCCAAUGGGGUCAAUGGGACCCAAUGGGGUCAAUGGGGUCAUGGUAGGAGCCAAUGGGGUCAGUGGGACCCAAUGGGGUCAAUGGGGUCAUGGUAGGAGCCAGUGGGGUCAAUGGGACCCAAUGGGGUCAAUGGGGUCAUGGUAGGAGCCAAUGGGGUCAAUGGGGUCAUGGUAGGAGCCAAUGGGGUCAAUGGGACUCAAUGGGGUCAAUGGGGUCAUGGUAGGAGCCAAUGGGACCCAAUGGGGUCAAUGGGGACAUGGUAGGAGCCAAUGGGGUCAAUGGGACCCAAUGGGGUCAAUGGGGUCAUGGUAGGAGCCAAUGGGGUCAAUGGGGUCAUGUGGGGUCAUGGUGGGACCCAAUGGGGUCAAUGGGACCCAAUGGGGUCAAUGGGGUCAUGGUAGGAGCCAAUGGGGUCAGUGGGACCCAAUGGGGUCAAUGGGGCCAUGGUGGGACCCAUGGGACCCAAUGGAGUCAAUGGGGUCGUGGUGGGACCCAGUCUAUGGGGUGGGUCUAUGGGGUGAAUCUAUGGGGUCAG